GGCUUCCUCCCAAAGAUCCAGCUUUAAGGCUGACCUGGCCUUGAUCUGCAGGGUCUUCCCACUUGCAUGUUGGGAGCCUGGACCAGAACUGGAUCUGAUAUGACGCAGCAUCCCGUUAUUCUCAAGUCAACUCUCUACAAUGACUCCUGAGAUAAUUUGCCAGAAAGGUAUCAGUGUAUCCUCCACUGAGAAGAAAAUGAAGGAUGUAAUAUGAAUGAAUACCUACAUAUAAGGAAGGCAAUUACAGAACAAUGGUACUUCAUGGACUCACAUUAGGUUUAUAUUUGUAAAAACAAAAUUCCAAUCUGACAUCAGCAUAGUCAAGUAAAUUUUGUUUUAUACUAGUGUUAAGUCACUGUAAUUCAGAUACAAUAAGGUGCAAUGUCUUCUAACAGUUACAACAGGCAGGACACCUGUUGUGUCCUGCUCAUUCACUUGCCCACCAUGGUUGUGGCUACAUCAUCUCCAUGUUUCUGGGCAAUCUCAUUUGCCUCAGACAGGUGACCAGAUCUAACUUGAAUGUAAUAAUCCAUGUGUUCUCUGAGGUAGCCCAUGACUAAUGAAAGAAUAUUUAGAAAGAACACAAAUGUCUAUCACAGUACUGUACUCAGUAUAUGAAGAAAAGACAGAAUAGAGAAAUCUAAGGAAUGAUUUUCCAAAUUCUAUUUCUGAUCAGAUCUUCACUAUAUUUAGGGAGAAAUUUCUGUUUGCAUAUCUUGAAUUUUUCCUCACAAUUAAAAAGUAUGUGAAAUGCAAUAAUGAAAUGGAGCUUUAAGGUAUGACUGCAGCAGCUACAAAACUUGUGACCUACCAUCUGUCCUGCCCACAAGAUGGCAUGGCAAUGGUGGAACAGAAAUUAUGGAAGUAGCCAACCAAUGUCUGAUUUGAGUUAAGGCUCGCUCCAAAAGGUGAAAGUUAUACCCAACCUGCCUGCAUAACCAAGGACCAGAGCCUAGACAGCCCAGAAACCUAGGAUAAAACAAACACUAGUCAUGUAAAAUGAGAAAUAGAAGUAUGAACAAAAUCAACUACUACUUCUGUUGUGCUGUACUAAUAGAUCAGUGCUUUAUUCAGUCAUCAUGUGAGAAGAUUUCUACAGCUGCAGAUGGGAACACAUGCAGAAGCCCAAAGUCAGACAUCAGGAGAAGAGAGAGUCUACAUGGAGGUCUCCAUCAAAUGCUUCCCUUCAGAGCUCAGGGAACCGUAGAGAGGAUGAGGCAGAAAGAGUGUAACAGCCAGGAGAGAUAGAGGACACCAGGACAACAAGACGCUCUGAAUAAGCAAGUGCAAGUGAACUCACAGGGACUGAAGUAGCAGACACAGGGCCUACACAGGUCUGCACAUAUAUACUAUAGCUUUACGCUUAGCAUUAUUAUAUGACUGCUGAAUGUGAGGACAAUGAGGAAGAAGAGGUGGUUGGGAAUCAGAAGGGAAAGACACGUCAUUCUCUAAACUCCAUACCAUACAACUAUUAUAACCAGUAACCAACAGCAAAUGCACUUACCUGCACUGGCCUCACAGAACACCACAGACUAGGAAAGGGAAGAGGCUCACUUUAUUUCUUAGACGUUGGCUAUGAAUAUAUUGUAGGAGAAGAAUCAUUGCCUUUAGUUGUUAUCCUGUGCUGAGCACAUUAGGCUCCAGCACACAUCAGGCUCCAAACCCACAGUCUCACAAGUGGCUCUGGUUCAUCUCAGUGGAUCACAAGCAAUAUGAAUAGAGAGCAAUAUGAAUAGAGAUGAACACAGUAGAGUGACUGUUGGAAUUGUGGACCAGGAUAGUGGAGAGGUAGGAGGUAGAUAGGCAGUAUUUGACGUAUACCUUCCCAUGUGCACACAGACACACACAGACACACACAGACACAUACACACACACACACACACACACACACACACACACACUGUGUUAUACAUUUAUAUGCCCGUGUGAAAUAGGCAAUAAUAGACAAUCGGUGGGAGAUAUUUACUUGUUCAUUCAUUCAUUCAUUCAUUCAUUCAUUCAUUCAUUCAUUGUAGACAGGGUUUCUCUGUAUAAACCUGGGUUUAAAGGUACCCAUAAUCAACUCAAUUUUCUUUUAAAUUACCACAUCAGUCUGUAAUUUGUUUUUAGUUGUGCAAGUAUCUAGUGGGAUUUAUUUAUUUGUUUAUUUUUGUUUUUGAGAAAUCACUAAGAUCAGCCUACCUCUGCCUCUGGAAUGCUAGGACUAAUGGGAUGUUCCACCAAGCCCAGCUCAGUAUCUGCUUUAGCAUCAAAUAAUAAUUAGAGUCAGGAACUGUCUCAUUUUAUGUUAAGAAGUAAGUCAAUGAUAAGUCAUAUUGCUUUUAGUUCUAUGUAGUUCUGAUAGAAUUCUGUGGACGUGGGAUUAUUUUAAGGAUAGCAUUUUAUACUCCUUCAGUCACAUUGUCACUUGUAGACUUGUUCAUAUUAUUUAUUUCAUAUUGUGUGUUAUAUACAUCUGAAACCUCAUCUAUUUCCAUUAGAGUUUCCAGUUUAGUGCAAUAGAAGUCUUUAAUGUCAGUAGACACAAGCUCUAAUUGUUAACUAGCAAGUAGGUUGUGCCUUUACCUUGGGUAAACUGUUAGGUCAUUGCAAGCUGGGCAGUGGUGGUGUACUCCUUUAAUCAAAGCACUCAGGAGGCAAAGGCAUGUAGAUCUCUGUGAGUUCAAUGCAAUCCUGGCCUACAGAGUGAGUUUCAGGUCAGCCAAUGUUACACAAUGAAGGUCUAUCUCUACAAAUAAAUAAACACAUAGG
rnacentral:lncRNA from 1 species